GCCGCGGUAGCUCAAUUGGUGGAGCAUCGCACGCGGAAUUCGAAGGUUGUGGGUUCGGUUCCCACCUGCGGCA
rnacentral:tRNA from 1 species